GACGAACGCUGGCGGCGUGCCUAAUACAUGCAAGUAGAACGCAGUUGCGAACGGGUGAGUAACGCGUAGGUAACUGCCUCAUAGCGGGGGAUAACUAUUGGGAACGAUAGCUAAUACCGCCUACUGUGAGAUGGACCUGCGUUGGAUUAGCUAGUUGGGGAGGUAAAGGCUCACCAAGGCGACGAUACAUAGCCGACCUGAGAGGGUGGUCGGCCCACACGGGACUGAUACAAGGGCCCGACUCCUACGGGAGGCAGCAGUAGGGAAUCUUCGGACAUGGAGGGAAGGCUGAACGAGCAACUCCGCGGGAGUGAAGAAGGGUUUCGGAUCGUAAAGCUCUGUUGUUAGAGAAGCGGUACCUAACGAGAAAGGGACGGCUAACUACGUGCCAGCAGCCGCGGUAAUAC
rnacentral:rRNA from 1 species